rnacentral:rRNA from 1 species
AGAGUUUGAUUAUGGCUCAGGAUGAACGCUAGCGACAGGCUUAACACAUGCAAGUCGAGGGGCAGCAUAGAGGUAGCAAUACUUGGUGGCGACCGGCGCACGGGUGAGUAACGCGUAUGCAACCUACCUAUCAGGAGGGGAAUAACCCGGCGAAAGUCGGACUAAUACCGCAUAAAACAGGGGCACCGCAUGGUGAUAUUUGUUAAAGAAAUUCGCUGAUAGAUGGGCAUGCGUUCCAUUAGGUAGUUGGUGAGGUAACGGCUCACCAAGCCGACGAUGGAUAGGGAACUGAGAGGUUGGUCCCCCACACUGGUACUGAGACGCGGACCAGACUCCUACGGGAGGCAGCAGUGAGGAAUAUUGGUCAAUGGGCGGGAGCCUGAACCAGCCAAGUCGCGUGAAGGAAGAAGGAUCUAUGGUUCGUAAACUUCUUUUGCAGGGGAAUAAAGUGCAGGACGUGUCCUGUUUUGUAUGUACCCUGAGAAUAAGGAUCGGCUAACUCCGUGCCAGCCGCCGC